CCAAAAACUUUUGUGUUCUAGAUUUUUCUUUUGCAUUACACUCUGAAAAUCUGUUCCCAAUGAAUGUUUAAUGCAAUUGGACAUUUUUAAGAUCAAAAAGGAAAUAAUGACUAUUUGGUCCUAUUUUGGUUGAAUUUUCAUAUCUCCCAGAAAAUAGUUAACAUCUCAGUGUACGGAGUGUCUAUUUUCUGUUGGAAUUUGGUAUUUAUAUAUCCA
rnacentral:lncRNA from 1 species